GAUGAACGCUGGCGGCGUGCUUAACACAUGCAAGUCGAACGGGAAUUAUUUUAUUGAAACUUCGGUCGAUUUAAUUUAAUUCUAGUGGCGGACGGGUGAGUAACGCGUGGGUAACCUGCCUUAUACAGGGGGAUAACAGUCAGAAAUGGCUGCUAAUACCGCAUAAGCGCACAGAGCUGCAUGGCUCAGUGGGAAAAACUCCGGUGGUAUAAGAUGGACCCGCGUUGGAUUAGCUGGUUGGUGGGGUAACGGCCCACCAAGGCGACGAUCCAUAGCCGGCCUGAGAGGGUGAACGGCCACAUUGGGACUGAGACACGGCCCAGACUCCUACGGGAGGCAGCAGUGGGGAAUAUUGCACAAUGGGGGAAACCCUGAUGCAGCGACGCCGCGUGAAGGAAGAAGUAUCUCGGUAUGUAAACUUCUAUCAGCAGGGAAGAUAGUGACGGUACCUGACUAAGAAGCCCCGGCUAACUACGU
rnacentral:rRNA from 1 species